rnacentral:rRNA from 1 species
UACGAGGGGAGCAAGCGUUGUUCGGAUUUACUGGGCGUAAAGGGCGCGUAGGCGGCCACGACAAGUCACUUGUGAAAUCUCCGGGCUUAACCCGGAACGGUCAAGUGAUACUGUCGGGCUAGAGUACAGAAGGGGCGACUGGAAUUCUCGGUGUAGCGGUGAAAUGCGUAGAUAUCGAGAGGAACACCUGCGGCGAAGGCGGGUUGCUGGGCUGAUACUGACGCUGAGGCGCGAAAGCGUGGGGAGCAAACAGG